rnacentral:rRNA from 1 species
GGGUCCGCACAAGCGGUGGAGCAUGUGGUUUAAUUCGAUGAUACGCGAGGAACCUUACCUGGGCUCGAAUGGAUUUGGACAGUUUCUGAAAGGAAAUCUCUCUUCGGAGCUGAAUUCAAGGUGCUGCAUGGUUGUCGUCAGCUCGUGCCGUGAGGUGUUGGGUUAAGUCCCGCAACGAGCGCAACCCUUAUCCUAUGUUGCCAGCAUUUAGUUGGGGACUCGUAGGAGACUGCCGGGGUCAACUCGGAGGAAGGUGGGAUGACGUCAAGUCAUCAUGCCCCUUAUGCCCAGGGCUGCAAACACGCUACAAUGGCUGGUACAGAGGGCUGCGAACCCGCGAGGGCAAGCG